AUUGAACGCUGGCGGCAUGCCUUACACAUGCAAGUCGAACGGCAGCACGGGAGCAAUCCUGGUGGCGAGUGGCGAACGGGUGAGUAAUAUAUCGGAACGUGCCCAGUCGUGGGGAUAACGUAGCGAAAGCUACGCUAAUACCGCAUACGAUCUAUGGAUGAAAGCGGGGGAUCGCAAGACCUCGCGCGAUUGGAGCGGCCGAUAUCAGAUUAGGUAGUUGGUGAGGUAAAGGCUCACCAAGCCGACGAUCUGUAGCUGGUCUGAGAGGACGACCAGCCACACUGGGACUGAGACACGGCCCAGACUCCUACGGGAAGCAGCAGUGGGGAAUUUUGGACAAUGGGCGCAAGCCUGAUCCAGCAAUGCCGCGUGCAGGAUGAAGGCCUCGGUGUAACU
rnacentral:rRNA from 1 species